rnacentral:rRNA from 1 species
UACGUAGGGUGCAAGCGUUGUCCGGAAUUAUUGGGCGUAAAGAGCUUGUAGGCGGUUUGUCGCGUCUGCUGUGAAAAUCCGGGGCUCAACUCCGGAUCUGCGGUGGGUACGGGCAGACUAGAGUGAUGUAGGGGAGACUGGAAUUCCUGGUGUAGCGGUGAAAUGCGCAGAUAUCAGGAGGAACACCGAUGGCGAAGGCAGGUCUUUGGGCAUUAACUGACGCUGAGGAGCGAAAGCAUGGGGAGCGAACAGG